rnacentral:rRNA from 1 species
AUUGAACGCUGGCGGCAGGCCUAACACAUGCAAGUCGAGCGAGCGGCGGACGGGUGAGUAAUGUAUGUGGACUGUCCGAUAGAGGGGGAUACCUACUGGAAACGGUGGCUAAUACCGCAUACUAUCGGAUAACCCAUAUGGGAUUAGCUAGUAGGUGGGGUAAAGGCUCACCUAGUCGACGAUCUCUAGCUGGUCUGAGCGGAUGAUUAGCCACACUGAGACUGAGACACGGCCCAGACACCUACGGAGGCAGCAGUGGGGAAUAUGGCACAAUGGGAGCAAGCCUGAUGCAGCCAUGCCGCGUGUAUGAAGAAGGCCUUAGGGUUGUAAAGGACUUACAGCGGGGAGGCGUUACCCGCAGAAGAAGCACCGGCUAACUCCGUGCCAGCAGCCGCGGUAAAUC